CCUACGGGAGGCAGCAGUAGGGAAUAUUGCUCAAUGGGGGAAACCCUGAAGCAGCAACGCCGCGUGGAGGAUGAAGGUUUUCGGAUUGUAAACUCCUUUUGUUAGAGAAGAUAAUGACGGUAUCUAACGAAUAAGCACCGGCUAACUCCGUGCCAGCAGCCGGGGGAAUAAGGAGGGUGCAAGCGUUACUCGGAAUCACUGGGCGUAAAGAGCGUGUAGGCGGGUUAGCAAGUGAGACGUGAAAACCUAUGGCUUAACCAUAGAACUGCAUUUGAAACUGUUAUUCUAGAGUAUGGGAGAGGUAGGUGGAAUUCUUGGUGUAGGGGUGAAAUCCGUAGAGAUCAAGAGGAAUACUCAUUGCGAAGGCGACCUGCUAGCGCAUAACUGACGCUGAUGCGCGAAAGCGUGGGGAGCGAACAGGAUUAGAUACCCGGGUAGUC
rnacentral:rRNA from 1 species